GUUUGAUCCUGGCUCAGGACGAACGCUGGCGGCGUGCCUAAUACAUGCAAGUGGAACGCACUUAUCUCACCGGAGCUUGCUCCACCGAGAUAAGUGAGUCGCGAACGGGUGAGUAACGCGUAGGUAACCUGCCUCAUAGCGGGGGAUAACUAUUGGAAACGAUAGCUAAUACCGCAUAACAGUAUUUACUGCAUGGUAGAUGCUUGAAAGAAGCAACUGCUUCACUAUGAGAUGGACCUGCGUUGUAUUAGCUAGUUGGUGGGGUAACGGCUCACCAAGGCUUCGAUACAUAGCCGACCUGAGAGGGUGAUCGGCCACACUGGGACUGAGACACGGCCCAGACUCCCACGGGAGGCAGCAGUAGGGAAUCUUCCACAAUGGACGCAAGUCUGAUGGAGCAACGCCGCGUGAGUGAAGAGGGUUUUCGGAUCGUAAAGCUCUGUUGUUGGUGAAGAA
rnacentral:rRNA from 1 species